GACGAACGCUGGCGGCGUGCUUAACACAUGCAAGUCGAACGAAGUGGCGAACGGGUGAGUACUACGUGGGUAACCUGCCCUCCUUUUUGGGAUAAGCCUUGGAAACGGGGUCUAAUACCGAAUAAAGGGGGAUGGGCUCGCGGCCUAUCAGCUUGUUGGUGGGGUGAUGGCCUACCAAGGCGGUGACGGGUAGCCGGCCUGAGAGGGUGACCGGCCACAUUGGGACUGAGAUACGGCCCAGACUCCUACGGGAAGGAGCAGGGGGGGAUAUUGCACAAUGGGCGAAAGCCUGAUGCAGCGACGCCGCGUGAAGGAAGACGUUCUUCGGAUGGUAAACUUCGUUAGACAGGGACGGUACCUGUAGAAUAAGCCACGGCUAACUACGUGCCAGCAGCCGCGGUAAUUC
rnacentral:rRNA from 1 species